UCGAGCGACUGAUUAGAAGCUUGCUUCUAUGACGUUAGCGGCGGACGGGUGAGUAACACGUGGGCAACCUGCCUGUAAGACUGGGAUAACUCCGGGAAACCGGAGCUAAUACCGGAUAACAUUUUCUCUUGCAUAAGAGAAAAUUGAAAGAUGGUUUCGGCUAUCACUUACAGAUGGGCCCGCGGUGCAUUAGCUAGUUGGUGAGGUAACGGCUCACCAAGGCAACGAUGCAUAGCCGACCUGAGAGGGUGAUCGGCCACACUGGGACUGAGACACGGCCCAGACUCCUACGGGAGGCAGCAGUAGGGAAUCUUCCGCAAUGGACGAAAGUCUGACGGAGCAACGCCGCGUGAGUGAUGAAGGCUUUCGGGUCGUAAAACUCUGUUGUUAGGGAAGAACAAGUACAAGAGUAACUGCUUGUACCUUGACGGUACCUAACCAGAAAGCCACGGCUAACUACGUGCCAGCAGCCGCGGUAAUACGUAGGUGGCAAGCGUUAUCCGGAAUUAUUGGGCGUAAAGCGCGCGCAGGCGGUUUCUUAAGUCUGAUGUGAAAGCCCACGGCUCAACCGUGGAGGGUCAUUGGAAACUGGGGAACUUGAGUGCAGAAGAGAAAAGCGGAAUUCCACGUGUAGCGGUGAAAUGCGUAGAGAUGUGGAGGAACACCAGUGGCGAAAGCGGCUUUUUG
rnacentral:rRNA from 1 species